UCUUAGAAGCCCCUUUGCUCCUCCUGCCUCUUCAAGCAAGAGCAACAGAUGUUUCCUGUCUGUUUAUUUGUGGAAGGCACCGAGCAUUGGAGCAGAAAUGGUCAAAACUUUGUUCUGUCCUGCUUAUGAGUGAGAUAGUGUGAAAAAACAAACUAAGGACUCUGCUCUUGAAUAUUGAACACAUAAAAAGGGAGGCAGAGUUAACUGGCCUGAUGUCACUGCAAGGGACCUUUGCAUCUGAGAAUGUUAAGAUUAAUAUUUCUUGGAGCAUGAAAGUUUUGCACAUUUUGAGGAAGAAAAGGGUCCAAGGCUAAUUACAAGCAAGCACUUGAGCGAGGAGAACUUACUUUCCUGAUUCUCUUCAGCCAGGCCUCAUCACAGAGUUGCAUAAAGUCCAUUAAAUGAAGUUCCUUGGGAAAAAUGAAGAUAUGGAGGAAGACAAGUACUUAGUAAGGGGAGUGUUUAGAGCAUGAUCAUUCCAAAUUUCAAGAGGAAGAAAGAGAAUUACUGCCAGUGAUUGCCAUCUUACGGCCUCUGCAAACCUGGGGGCAUCAUCACUAUCACAGGCUGAUAUUGCACAGCUAUAUGAUCAACUGGAAUCUUAUUUUGAAAUAGAGAAGUGCAAGAUUUCAAACUUACGGGUAUAAUU